rnacentral:rRNA from 1 species
GACGAACGCUGGCGGCGUGCUUAACACAUGCAAGUCGAACGGAAAGGCCCUGCUUUUGUGGGGUGCUCGAGUGGCGAACGGGUGAGUAACACGUGAGUAACCUGCCCUUGACUUUGGGAUAACUUCAGGAAACUGGGGCUAAUACCGGAUAGGAGCUCCUGCUGCAUGGGGGGGGUUGGAAAGAUUCGGCGGUUGGGGAUGGACUCGCGGCUUAUCAGCUUGUUGGUGGGGUAGUGGCUUACCAAGGCUUUGACGGGUAGCCGGCCUGAGAGGGUGACCGGCCACAUUGGGACUGAGAUACGGCCCAGACUCCUACGGGCGGCAGCAGUGGGGAAUAUUGCACAAUGGGCGGAAGCCUGAUGCAGCAACGCCGCGUGCGGGAUGACGGCCUUCGGGUUGUAAACCGCUUUCGCCUGUGACGAAGCGUGAGUGACGGUAAUGGGUAAAGAAGCACCGGCUAACUACGUG